GACCGGAAGAGGGGCGGGUCCUUGGAGGAGGGACCGGAAGAGAUCGGUCAUAAAAGAAGACGUCCUUGUCGGGCCCAGAGAAAUUCUUGCCGUACUCCAUAUUGAUCACGAAGAGCCCGUGCCUGGCCUGUCUUCCUGUGAUCGACUCCAGCUGGGCCAGCAUCCGCAUGGGGAACUCCUCCAGGUACUCGAAAGCUGUGGCAUUCCUGGGACAGUGGCAGCAUGGCCGGAGGAAGAUGCUCAGUGCUGCGCAGCGGUGAAAGGUGUGUGUGCAUGCGUGUACCUGCCUCUCAGACCAAGAAGCGGCCACCAAACAGCGUGCUGACCCUGAUCAGCCCCGCUCACCUCACUCUGGUGUGACCGUGACAGCAGAGCCCCGACUUGCACCUGGGAGAGAUGACCGAAAGCUCUGAGUAACCUGAAACGGGUAUCUGGGGAAAGGGUGAGCCAGGCUAAGAACAGUGACAGAAAAGCCCGAGGAGAGAGUGAACACUGUGGUGGGUUCAAGGGGCAGGAAGCAGGCCAGUGUGGCCGGAGUGGAGUCGAGGGGAAAGGGCAGGAAAGGGGGCUGGGGAGGUCGGUGGGGGCGGGGCAAGGAAGGCUGUGUGUGUCACCAUGGGAACUUCGGGCCUCGUCUGGAUCAAGGGAAGCCACUGGCCCUUGGAAGGUACUGAACACUGAUGAAUUCAUGUGACCUAAGUUUUAAAAGGGCCACUCCAGCCACUGUGUUGAGCACGGACCACGGGGCCAAGGUGAGAGGCUGCUCUAUUGGUGCAGAUGAGGGAUACUCGUGGUCCAGACCAGGGUGGCGGGGGCAGUUGUGGGGCUGGUGAGGGGCUCAGAUUUGCGACACAGUUAGAAGGUAGAGCUGACAGGAUCUACGGAUAGUGUGAAUGUGUUGAGCAGGUGUGAAAGAGAGAGGAGUCAAGGGUGAUGGUGGCUUUGUGCUGAGCACCUCUGAGUUUCCUGCACGUCCUUGAACUCGGUGUGCUGCUGUGCUCACUGGCUUUGGACCAGGCUGUUCCCUCUGAGGCUUCUCAGCUGCCACCUGUCCUUGGAGGCCCUCCCGACCCAGCUCUUCCCCCUUCCCUGCUCUUCCUGGUUUCCUUCUCAGGAAGUGUCCUCUGUGAUCUGCCUUUUAUCACUUGAUUGACUAGGAGCCAACACAGUCCCCACCCAGGGAGCCCAUAAACCCACACAGAUGGUGACACUCAUCACUGCGGUUCACUGCUCACUUGUUUGGUGCCAGAUACUUUCCACCAGUUACCUUUACCCCUUCCUCCAGUCCUGCAACGGAGGUGUUAUUAUCCCCAUUUUGCAGAUUAGAGAAAGGCUUGGAGAGGCAGACUAACUUGCCCCAGAUCACAGAGGUAGAAAGUGGCAAAGCUGGAUUCACACCCAGGUCCAUCCGUCUGUCUGCAAAAGCUUGUGGUGUUGAUUUCACGAUUCUCUCCAGAACAGACUGCUCUCCCCCUGCCACCCUGGCCAGCUUCAUCUUAGGAAAGAACCCCUGGGCUAUUCCCCACCUGGAAUAGGCGGAGAACAAGCCAGGGAUGAGGGUGUGGAUUACUCACUCCUUCAACAGGACCACGUCAGCCAGCACACUGAACAUCUGGUAGAGCCCAGAAGCCUCGUUGACACGCCGGAUGAUGGCACUGGCCAGCUGUGUGAUAGGGUGCUGGGUGGAGGGCCAGGGGACAUCGUGGUGGCGCUGCUCCAGCAGCCGGUGGACGGCACGCACUGAAACGACCAGAGGGAGGAAGGGCAUGCAGCAUUUAAGAUGUUAUCUUUCACCACCAGGAGGGACGCAGAGGCCCCAUCAGCUCUGAACUCAGGGCACACUUGUAUGCAUGGCUCCAAGGAGAUGCCUUUAGAGCAGGGUUCAUACAUGUUUUCCAAAAGGGGCAGGAUGGGAGGCGUCUUGGCCACACUACUCAAUUCGGCCUCUGGUGGGAAAGCAGCCGUAGAGAUAGGGAACUGAGUUGGCGUGGCUGGAUGUGGUCCCCUGGCCAGAGUCUGCCCGCUUCUGCUUUAGGCCAUCUGCAUAUGGAAAUCCCACCACAGUCACCUUGUGUGGUGUGUCUAGACAAGACCCAGAGCCCUCCUCUGAAGCCUCUCCCUUCUCACAGUCCCCGAGUCUAUCAGGGACACCCAGACGGAAACUCUGACUGCCCCCUCUCCUUCACAGCCAAAAUCCAAUCUGUUGCUAAGCUCUAUUUGGAGAUACUUUGUAUAUUGACAUAAGGACAGAAAAACAGCAGCUAUCUUAAACAACAAGUAGACAUUUUUCUGUGUCCCCGGGGCUGCUGUCACACAGCUGGGAGACUGGGGCACCGCACACAGGGGCCUGCUCUUCGAAACAAACCAGUGCAACACACAAAUCCAAUAAAGGCAAGACACAGACAAUCACGUGUCAGGAGACCUGGAUGGCUAAUGGUCACAGGAAAGGAGGUUCACCCUUGCUAGUCAGACAGACAUCUGGUUCUCUAGCACUGGUUAGGCUGCAUUUUGUGAAAGGCUGAGGAAUUACUCAGCUAGGGAACUGCGGGGAGGUGCCCGACAGAAGGAACGCAUGUGCAAAGACAUGAAACCUCAAGAGAAAACCGGCACAUUCCGGAAAGCAGGCGAGGCUGGGCUGGGAGGGCGAGCUGGGGCCACCAUACAAGGCUCCGGAUGCCAUGCCAAGCACCUGGAUGGGGAGCCCCUGGAGGUUUUUUCGUUUAAAGAACAGUUGUUUUGGUGGGUAUCGGAGCAGCUGGAUGGGAAGCCAGAGAGAACAGCAGCAGGAGGACCAGUUAGGAGAGACCAAGAGGCCCCCCAUCCGGAAAGUGAGGCUGGGAUGGAUGGGAGAGAGACGGCAGGUCCUACCCGCCCCGGUUACAGUCAGUGCUGCCUGUCUUCCACCUUCCGUUGCUUUACUCUGCCUUGCUGUUUUCUCCUUUUCUCCCGUGGGACCUGUUUCUCAGCUGAACGAUGCGCAGAGCUGGGCAGGAUGGAUAGUCCUCCGCUGGUAGCAGGGACCCUGGUGAACAGUGGCCUGUCCACCCAUGACUGUUUCCCAUUUGCCUGAAGCUCAGGGGUUCUCUGUGAGCUUCAGAGUCAGAUGGGUGUGGAUUCAAAGGCUCCCUCUGCCGGCCACUGGCUGGGCGACUUUGGGUAACUUACUUCUCUGUGCCCAUUUCCUUAUACAAAAAAUGGAGUUGAAAUAACAGGAUCUGUCUCACGGGGCUGUUGUAAGGAUUAAGAAUGUGACCUGGGGGGAAGAUCAGGGGACAGAAGGAAACAAGAGAGAUGAGGCAGGACCUGCCAGGAGAGCAGGUGUAGAGAGGGUAACAGGCACAGGAAGGAUGAGGAGGGCUUCGUGCUGGGGAGAUACCUUUCCCAUUCUGUGUGUGUGUGUGUGCGCGCGUGUAUUCACUUUGCAAAUACUGCAAAUAGUUGUAAACAGACAGCUAUUUGCUUCUCUGACGACAUGUAGGGGGUAUAAAAUACAUGGUCUGGAAAUCAACACCAAAACAUGAUUAUCUUUCCUUGCCAAACUGGAAGGAUGGUGAAAUGCAAAAAUCAGCAUUAAGACAAGUGAGGCAUCAAAUUAAAAGCAGAAAGAUCAGGGUGAAGGACUCAUAUGGUGUUUUUAUGGCAAAAUUAACUGACCCAUGUAACACUCACCAUGCAAUAAAGCACCCACCCAGUAGCCUACCCAGAGUGUGGAAAAUCUGUACUCUUAGUACCAAGAGUUCUGAAAAAGAACUGAUAUAAUCCCAUUGCAAUUUGUAUUGAAAUUUGUUGGUACCCCAGGAGUCUAUGUACGGAGCGCUUCACAGCUGCACGGUCUUAGUCCUUGCAACAGUCCCACAGGGGCGGCAAGUUCACCUCAUUUACAUCUCUGACUUGGAGGACAGCCAAAGAGGCUCAGAGAGGUUACAAGGUCUCACCCUUGAGACUAGCCAGCUGCUAAUCCAGAUUAGCAUUCUUACCAAUACGUGGUAAGCUGCAAAGGGCUUAAGCAUUUAGCGUGCCACCCACAGAUGGACUUCCUUUUACACUUUAUCUGAUGUAUCUUCUCUAGAUGUAUCUUCGGACCGCCAUAACCCACUGCUGUCUGCCCCGGCAAGGGAAUUUAUAGUAAUCAACUGCUCAUAAGCAAUCACUUUAAGGCUGGUUUAAGAGAAUCGGGCAUGUGUUAAACCCUGGGGAUGGUUCUGUCUGGGGACAGCAGCCCUCUCUGCCUGGCUCACCUGUGUAUCGGAAUCCGUGAAUGAAGCCCCCAGCAGAUUUUCGGUAAUCCACGGAGUGGCUGGCGGUACCCAGGACAAAGAGACCGCGGCUCCCUUUGGACUCGUAGCUAGCUCUGACCAGUGGGUAUUUCUUGCUGAACUCACCCCCUGAAGAGAGUCGGAGGGACCUGUGAGCAGAAAGCGUUGUUAAUAUAAAUAGAUGCUGUGUGUGAAAGAC